CAGUCGUACCGACGAGAAAUCAACCUAUCGUGUGCGAACUUGUGGGCGUGCGUGAGUUUCGGCCUCGCUGUUUGCAUGUUUGUGCGUUUUGGGUGUACUUUUUCGUAUGGUAGGCCAACGUCAGUUUCGAUUAUCAUAAAAUGACCGGCGGAAUGUAGCUUCGAUUUCGGUUGAAGUGUUAUAGCCUCUGGUAGAUGUGGUGAUUGAGACUGAGGAUUGCAACGAAUACCCUUUGGGCUAUCCGUCUGGCCUCUGAAAGUUGCUCAGGUGCCGAAAGCGUGCUUACGGUCAUCUAAGAUAACGUUCAACAGGUUAGAACGUGAUUACA
rnacentral:rRNA from 1 species